UGGGGAAUAUUGGACAAUGGGCGCAAGCCUGAUCCAGCCAUGCCGCGUGGAUGAUGAAGGCCCUAGGGUUGUAAAGUCCUUUCGACGGGGAAGAUAAUGACGGUACCCGUAGAAGAAGCCCCGGCUAACUUCGUGCCAGCAGCCGCGGUAAUACGAAGGGGGCUAGCGUUGCUCGGAAUCACUGGGCGUAAAGCGCACGUAGGCGGCUUUUUAAGUCAGAGGUGAAAUCCUGGAGCUCAACUCCAGAACUGCCUUUGAUACUGAGGAGCUUGAGUCCGGGAGAGGUGAGUGGAACUGCGAGUGUAGAGGUGAAAUUCGUAGAUAUUCGCAAGAACACCAGUGGCGAAGGCGGCGCACUGGACCGAGACUGACGCUGAGGCACGAAAGCGUGGGGAGCAAACAGGAUUAGAUACCCCCGUAGUCC
rnacentral:rRNA from 1 species